CUACGGGUGGCAGCAGUGAGGAAUUUUGCGCAAUGGGGGGAACCCUGACGCAGCAACGCCGCGUGAGUGAUGAAGGCUUUCGGGUCGUAAAGCUCUGUCAAGUGGGAAGAACCUAUGCAGUGUUAAUAUCACUGUAUACUGACGGUACCACUGAAGGAAGCACCGGCUAACUCCGUGCCAGCAGCCGCGGUAAUACGGGGGGUGCAAGCGUUAUUCGGAAUCAUUGGGCGUAAAGGGCACGUAGGCGGCUUGGUAAGUCAGAUGUGAAAGCCCGGGGCUUAACCCCGGAAGUGCAUUUGAUACUGUCAGGCUUGAGUAUGGGAGAGGGAAGUGGAAUUCCUGGUGUAGAGGUGAAAUUCGUAGAUAUCAGGAGGAACACCGGUGGCGAAGGCGACUUCCUGGACCAAUACUGACGCUGAGGUGCGAAGGCGUGGGUAGCAAACAGGAUUAGAUACCCGCGUAGUC
rnacentral:rRNA from 1 species